rfam:Piromyces finnis strain finn BCR36scaffold_107, whole genome shotgun sequence.
GGCUUAGUGGUCUAGUGGUAUGAUUCUCGCUUAGGGUGCGAGAGGUCCCGGGUUCAAUUCCCGGCUGAGCCC